CUAAGGUAGCGAAAUUCCUUGUCGGGUAAGUUCCGACCUGCACGAAUGGCGUAACGAUGGCGGCGCUGUCUCCACCCGAGACUCAGUGAAAUUGAAAUCGCUGUGAAGAUGCAGUGUAUCCGCGGCUAGACGGAAAGACCCCGUGAACCUUUACUGUAGCUUUGCACUGGACUUUGAGCCUGCUUGUGUAGGAUAGGUGGGAGGCUUUGAAGCGUGGACGCCAGUUCGCGUGGAGCCAUCCUUGAAAUACCACCCUGGCAUGCUUGAGGUUCUAACUCUGGUCCGUGAUCCGGAUCGAGGACAGUGUAUGGUGGGCAGUUUGACUGGGGCGGUCUCCUCCUAAAGAGUAACGGAGGAGUACGAAGGUGCGCUCAGACCGGUCGGAAAUCGGUCGUAGAGUAUAAAGGCAAAAGCGCGCUUGACUGCGAGACAGACACGUCGAGCAGGUACGAAAGUAGGUCUUAGUGAUCCGGUGGUUCUGUAUGGAAGGGCCAUCGCUCAACGGAUAAAAGGUACUCCGGGGAUAACAGGCUGAUACCGCCCAAGAGUUCAUAUCGACGGCGGUGUUUGGCACCUCGAUGUCGGCUCAUCACAUCCUGGGGCUGAAGCCGGUCCCAAGGGUAUGGCUGUUCGCCAUUUAAAGUGGUACGCGAGCUGGGUUUAGAACGUCGUGAGACAGUUCGGUCCCUAUCUGCCGUGGACGUUUGAGAUUUGAGAGGGGCUGCUCCUAGUACGAGAGGACCGGAGUGGACGAACCUCUGGUGUUCCGGUUGUCACGCCAGUGGCAUUGCCGGGUAGCUAUGUUCGGAAAAGAUAACCGCUGAAAGCAUCUAAGCGGGAAACUUGCCUCAAGAUGAGAUCUCACUGGGAACUUGAUUCCCCUGAAGGGCCGUCGAAGACUACGACGUUGAUAGGCUGGGUGUGUAAGCGUUGUGAGGCGUUGAGCUAACCAGUACUAAUUGCCCGUGAGGCUUGACCAU
rnacentral:rRNA from 1 species